rnacentral:tRNA from 1 species
GUGGGCGUAGCUCAGUUGGUAGAGCACUGGAUUGUGGUUCCAGUGGUCGCGGGUUCAAGCCCCGUCGCUCACCCCA